CCAUAUGGUAAAGUAUCCAGCAGGCAAAAUAACACAGCAGUAUCCCAACAGCAAUCCCAAUAACUGGACGACACACAGUAUCAGGAGCAGAACUAAAGAUUUAUUCACACAGUGGCCUUAUAAAGCCUGCUCCCAUGCAAGGGAGGGAUUUCCAUUAAUUUGUACAGUAGCCAAUCCUGCUCUGGUAACCUCCCACACAUCUCCCCUCAGCCUGCAUCAUAAUCCCCUUAUCCAGCACACCAAUUCCCCCCAGUUUCUGGAUGUACCCCUAAACUUAGGGGUACCACUUUAAAUGAUACAUCCCCUGGUAGCCCUGAUCUGGGUGAACAACAUAUCCAAAAAUCACCCAGAUCAGACCAGGGGUUCGGGAAAUUUAUGGAGGGAAUAAAAUAACCG